ACACGCAAGUCGAGAGGUAAGGAGAGCUUGCUCUCCCUAGACCGGCGUACGGGUGCGUAACACGUGUACAAUCUACCUUUUACUAAGGGAUAGCCCGAAGAAAUUUGGAUUAAUACCUUAUAGUAUUAUUUUAUGGCAUCAUUAAAUAAUUAAAGCUACGGUGGUAAAAGAUGAGUACGCGUCCCAUUAGCUAGUUGGAGUGGUAACGGCACACCAAGGCUACGAUGGGUAGGGGUUCUGAGAGGGAUGUCCCCCACACUGGUACUGAGACACGGACCAGACUCCUACGGGAGGCAGCAGUGAGGAAUAUUGGACAAUGGUCGGAAGACUGAUCCAGCCAUGCCGCGUGCAGGAUGACGGCCUUAUGGGUUGUAAACUGCUUUUAUACAGGAAGAAUAAGGUCUACGAGUAGAUUGAUGACGGUACUGUAUGAAUAAGCAUCGGCUAACUCCGUGCCAGCAGCCGCGGUAAUACGGAGGAUGCGAGCGUUAUCCGGAAUCAUUGGGUUUAAAGGGUCCGUAGGCGGGCGUAUAAGUCAGAGGUGAAAGCACUGAGCUCAACUGAGUAACUGCCUUUGAAACUGUAUGUCUGAAU
rnacentral:rRNA from 1 species